ensembl:lncRNA
GUGCUUUUGGGGAUUAAGGAUGCUGAUGGACUGGACAUGAGAUCUCAGCAUUCAUAUAUAGCCAAUGCCAUUCUGGAGAGAAAAAAAAAGAGGCUAUUGAGUAGCUCUAUUGAUGUAAUGUUUCCACGGUACUAAUCAUUUGCACAGCAACUGCCAGAAUACUUUGUCCAAAUUUGGUGUUACAAAUCAAACAUCAAGCAGAAAAGCUGGAGAGAGGUCAGAGUAAUGAGGAUCAAGUGGAAACAAAUCUUGGAAAGAAAAACUGGAAAAACACAAUACAUUUGACUUACAAAGAUGGACAGUGACUUAAUUAGUCUGUAAGUAAGUAAGUGAAGAGCAGAGAUGUAGUAAUAAGGUCUCUGAAAUCUAGCAAACAAAUGGAUAAAAUCCUGAGAGAAUGACAGAACCAGGUAAGUUCCUGAUCAUUCAUGUUCAGACUUCAGUAGAAAAGAUAUUUAAUUGUUAAAACAUAUUUUAUACGUUUCACUGUCAGACACUUUUUUAAUAAUGGCUUUUAGAACAUGCAGAAUUGAAUUCAGCUCCUAGCUUCUGUUACGUAUCAGGUCAUGAAAGGACACUGGUCAAUUUUAACAUGACAAUUAAUGAAUGUGCAUUCAUCUCCUAGUCCUGGGAGUAUGCUCUUAUUAUCUGGACUUCAGAGAGCAAGACCUCUCUCCCCUGAAACUCUCAGACCACUCAGAGAGAUGCUCUCUGGUGGAGUCUGAGCCAUAAUAUCAGGUGAUUUUAGGAAGUACAAAACAUAACUCAGAAAACCAAAAUUUCCUCAAAACCUUUGGAGGAGAAAAGAUGUUGAGAGCUAUUUAGGGCUGUUCUGCUGCCACAUGUCACACGUUAUGACGCACACUGUGUGGUUACACAACACCACCAACUCCUCAGACACAGCCUCCUUUCCACAGAAGGUCCUCACCCCUUGCACCCUCAGACCCUCACCAUGCUGCCUGUAAACUCAUCAAACUGUUCUGACUUGUACCAGACCACCAACAUUAGGAAGAAAGGAUGUGUUCCUCUCUUCCUAAUGACUUCUUAUUUCUUCUCUAGCAGACAAAAUCCUUGCUAUGAUGAAAACACUAUUACUAUUUUCUUUUUAUUCAUUAUUUACCAGCAUUUAAUUCAGUGUUCUAUAGCAGUAUUAAAGGAUGCUGACACUGCAUGUGUGAGAAUGAGUCCAGCAGUCUCCGGAGAGUGUGCAGGUAGAUAAGCUGCAAGGGCAGUGCUGAAUGCAAUUCC